rnacentral:rRNA from 1 species
GAAGUUUUCAGAGAUGAGAAUGUGCCUUCGGGAACCGUGAGACAGGUGCUGCAUGGCUGUCGUCAGCUCGUGUUGUGAAAUGUUGGGUUAAGUCCCGCAACGAGCGCAACCCUUAUCCUUUGUUGCCAGCGAUUAGGUCGGGAACUCAAAGGAGACUGCCAGUGAUAAACUGGAGGAAGGUGGGGAUGACGUCAAGUCAUCAUGGCCCUUACGACCAGGGCUACACACGUGCUACAAUGGCGCAUACAAAGAGAAGCGACCUCGCGAGAGCAAGCGGACCUCAUAAAGUGCGUCGUAGUCCGGAUUGGAGUCUGCAACUCGACUCCAUGAAGUCGGAAUCGCUAGUAAUCGUGGAUCAGAAUGCCACGGUGAAUACGUUCCCGGGCCUUGUACACACCGCCCGUCACACCAUGGGAGUGGGUUGCAAAAGAAGUAGGUAGCUUAACCUUCGGGAGGGCGCUUACCACUUUGUGAUUCAUGACUGGGGUGAAGUCGUAACAAGGUAACCGUAGGGGAACCUGCGGUUGGAUCACCUCCUUA